UGAUCCGGUGGUUCCGCAUGGAAGGGCCAUCGCUCAACGGAUAAAAGCUACCCCGGGGAUAACAGGCUUAUCUCCCCCAAGAGUUCACAUCGACGGGGAGGUUUGGCACCUCGAUGUCGGCUCAUCGCAUCCUGGGGCUGUAGUCGGUCCCAAGGGUUGGGCUGUUCGCCCAUUAAAGCGGUACGCGAGCUGGGUUCAGAACGUCGUGAGACAGUUCGGUCCCUAUCCGUCGUGGGCGUAGGAAAUUUGAGAGGAGCUGUCCUUAGUACGAGAGGACCGGGAUGGACAUACCUCUGGUGUACCAGUUGUCGUGCCAACGGCAUAGCUGGGUAGCUAUGUGUGGACGGGAUAAGUGCUGAAAGCAUCUAAGCAUGUAGCCCCCCUCAAGAUGAGAUUUCCCAACUUCGGUUAUAAGAUCCCUCAAAGAUGAUGAGGUUAAUAGGUUCGAGGUGGAAGCAUGGUGACAUGUGGAGCUGACGAAUACUAAUCGAUCGAAGACUUAAUCAA
rnacentral:rRNA from 1 species